rnacentral:rRNA from 1 species
AAGUCGUAACAAGGUUUCCGUAGGUGAACCUGCGGAAGGAUCAUUAAUGAUUGCGAAUCGUCGCCUUCAGUGCUGGCCGGCUUCGGCAAGUGCACGUCGGUGGCUUUCAUCCAAUACCCUGUGCACCUUUGGCCUCUUGCUAGCUUCGGCCGGCAGAGGAUUUUUACACACACUCGAAUGUAAUGAAAUUUAUUGUCGUGCGCAAGCACUAAUGUACAACUUUCAACAACGGAUCUCUUGGCUCUCGCAUCGAUGAAGAACGCAGCGAAAUGCGAUAAGUAAUGUGAAUUGCAGAAUUCAGUGAAUCAUCGAAUCUUUGAACGCACCUUGCACCCUUUGGCAUUCCGAAGGGUAUGCUCGUUUGAGUGUCAUUGUACUCUCACUCUCCCGAUACUUUUGGAUCGGGAGUGGUGGACUUGGGUGCUGCUGCUUAACUGUGGCUCGCCUCAAAUGAAGUAGUGCAACUCUCGGUUGGACAUAGUACGGCGUGAUAAGUAUCUUCGCCGGCGCCUCAUUCGAGGGUGGCCGAUCGGGAGCUCUGUGCUUCAAACCGUCUUCGGACAAUAUCUGACAACUUGACCUCAAAUCGAGUAGGACUACCCGCUGAACUUAAGCAUAUCAAUAAGCGGAGG